GGGGGCGCAAUGGUUUCGACGGGGAUGGGGAAGCCGGGGUUGCAGGUCGAGGCGCCGCUGGCCUCGUAAAAAGCGGCAACAAAAGUAAUUGCCAACAACGAUUACGACUACGCCUACGCUGCGUAAGCAGCAGGGUUCCUGACGGCUUCGGCCGUCACGCCGGAGUGACCGACGCCUGAUACGUCGCCGAGGUGUCAAAUCCAUCAGGCUGGCCCACGCGGGUGCCCACCGGCGCGCGGGCGAGAUCAUACGGCGGGCUGACCGCCAGCUGCCUGUUCAGGGGCGAAGUUUGCGGUGAGACUGUACCUGAACUAAACCUGUAGACGCCUUGCGCGGAUCGUUCUCGGACGGGGGUUCGACUCCCCCCGCCUCCACCA
rnacentral:tmRNA from 1 species